AAACUAUGAGCCUCUCAAAGAGCAUUACUUUGCUUCUUUCAAAGGUUAAACCAAACCUUUAAACAUUGUUCCAUCUUUAUAGCAUUUGAACUUCCCUUAUAUAUAAUCACCAUCCAGCUGCUAACAGACAUUAUUCUAAAUUGCGAUGGAGUCACAUAUUCAUAUGCAUGAUGAUGUCCAGAGGUUAUCCGCAGACAGGUU
rnacentral:misc_RNA from 1 species